rnacentral:rRNA from 1 species
GGCCAAUAACUCUAUUGGAUGGGUAACGGCCAACCCAAGCCGACGAAUGCUUAAGCCGACCUGAGAGAGUGACGGCCAACACUGAGAUGGAGACCCGGCCCAAGACUCCUACGGGAGCCACAAGUAAGGAAAUCUUCCGCAAAUGGGCGAAAACCUGGACGAAGCAACGCCGCGUGAGUGAUGAAGGUUUUCGGAUUGUUAAAGCUCUGUUGCCAAGGAAGAACGUCUUCUAGAGGUAACUGCUAGGAAGAGUGACGGUACUUGAGAAGAAAGCCCCGGCUAACUACGUGCCAGCAGCCGCGGUAAUACGUAGGGGGCGAGCGUUGUUCCGGAAUUAUUUGGGCGUAAAGCGCGCGCAGGCGGUUCUUUAAGUCUGGUGUUUAAACCCGAGGCUCAACUUCGGUCGCACUGGAAACUGGGGAACUUGAGUGCAGAAGAGGAGAGUGGAAUUCCACGUGUAGCGGUGAAAUGCGUAGAUAUGUGGAGGAACACCAGUGGCGAAGGCGACUCUCUGG